AUUGAACGCUGGCGGCAUGCCUUACACAUGCAAGUCGAACGGCAGCACGGGUGCUUGCACCUGGUGGCGAGUGGCGAACGGGUGAGUAAUACAUCGGAACAUGUCCUGUAGUGGGGGAUAGCCCGGCGAAAGCCGGAUUAAUACCGCAUACGAUCUACGGAUGAAAGCGGGGGCCCUUCGGGCCUCGCGCUAUAGGGUUGGCCGAUGGCUGAUUAGCUAGUUGGUGGGGUAAAGGCCUACCAAGGCGACGAUCAGUAGAUGGUCUGAGAGGACGACCAGCCACACUGGGGCUGAGACACGGCCCAGAAUCCGACGGGAGGCAGCAGUGGGGAAUUUUGGACAAGGGGCGAAAGCCUGAUCCAGCAAUGCCGCGUGUGUGAAGAAGGCCUUCGGGUUGUAAAGCACUUUUGUCCGGAAAGAAAUCCUUGCUCUAAUACAGUCGGGGGAUGACGGUACCGGAAGAAUAAGCACCGGCUAACUACGUG
rnacentral:rRNA from 1 species